AUACGGAGGGUGCAAGCGUUAUUCGGAAUCACUGGGCGUAAAGGACGCGUAGGCGGGUUGGCAAGUCAGAUGUGAACUCCUACAGCUUAACUGUAGAACUGCAUUUGAAACUGCUAACCUAGAGUAUGGGAGGGGGAGAUGGAAUUAGUGGUGUAGGGGUAAAAUCCGUAGAUAUCACUAGGAAUACCGAAAGCGAAGGCGAUCUCCUGGAACAUAACUGACGCUAAGGCGUGAAAGCGUGGGGAGCAAACAGGAUUAGAAACCCUAGUAGUCC
rnacentral:rRNA from 1 species